UGGCAGGGGAGGCCAAUGGCCACCACGGCUGUCGACAGAUGCCCAUGUAUGUUAUGCCUACCACAAAAUACAGCCUAUUCUGCACUGCUAGUUUCUCUGCCCCUUGUGUUAUUCAUACACAUGCGUAUUAGAGUUACUAUAAUUUAAAUUAUGGUUUCAACUAGAUAAAAUAUGAAGACAAAAUGGGUACCACCAAGAGAGAAAAAACCAAGGAUGCCAAUGGAAAAAUAUAUUCUCUCCGAACAUUAAUGAUAGCCUUAUUGUUAUCAAACAAGAAGUCGUCUUUUGAAAAAUGGCAAAACAUUAAUCAAGUUAUAUGGAGCUCUUGGUCAUGAAACUUGUAUCAAUAGACUUGUAUUGAAAUGUGUCACACCCAAUUUUAAAGAACAACACCAGGCUAGCUGUAUGUGUGCUCAGAAAGUCCACACAUACAACAACAGAAGAAACAAUAUCAGAAACAAUGUUAUAUAGUGUAAACAUAUUUGUAAUUAACACUUACAUUAGAGUAUCACAGAAAAAGUAACUAAUCUUCAGGCCCAAUCUUCACAGAAACGGCUGACUAGGGGCUGCGUAUGCCAAGCACUUCUGACAGUUUUCUAAGAAUGUCCUUCAUGACUCCAUCACUCUUUUGAUCAACUCUUACUAUUAGACUAGAGAGGGUGGGAAAUAGCAAGAGUGAGCACAUAUCGUACUUAACAAAGUAUAACUAGGGGUUCAUAAGGCUCAAAAAGCUAACACUGGUUUGACUGCAUUUAACUUUUAAGUAUGCAACAUGUUUAUCAAGUAAUAGCAUCAAGGUCGCAUAUAAUCCCAUAACCAAAUGAUCAAUGUAAGCAUAAUUAACUCAAAGCAUAAACGAUAAGUAAAUGAACAUAAUAAUAUAACAAGCAUCAUCAUCUUUAAUGUAGAUGUCUCUAAGGCCGUCCGUGUCUGUAAGUACGGCUAGUAUACCAGUUUAUUAAACACUCUAUAGGUAUUCAAGAUAGCAAAUACUUUCUGUCCUCACCUGCUGAUUUUUAGUGCCCACAAACGAUUCUCGUCCACUCGUAGCAACCACGCACAAACAAACAUACAAGAAACAAAUAAAAAUAACUAAGAACAAUACAUUGAUAAAAAAAGCUUUAAAAGAGAGCACACUAAACGACACGGCUCGAUGCUAAGGUCACGAGAGCACAAAAAUGGUUGAGAAUGGAGUUAUCGUGAAAAAAGAUGCGACUAUCGUGACUAACUAUAAAAAGAGACAAAAGAUAACGGAGUGUAUUUAUCUUAUUUUUGUAAAACCAGGUCAUGGAUAUUUUAGAGAAACAUCCUAAAGUGGAAAUAAUCAAAUUGGAUUGAUUGUAAAGCUUAGCUAUAUUUAAUUAUAAAAAAUUGCAUAUCAUUUAAGCCAUUUAAGCAUUUAUAGUUUAGAAAGCAUAAAGCAAGUG
rnacentral:lncRNA from 1 species